CUUUGUGCUCACGCUGCCUCCUCUCUCUUCAGGAAUGGAGGACGAGUCGCCGUUGACGCUGAGCAGCACACCUGGAACACAAACAUAGAGUACGUGCAGGGAGUGAAUAAACACAUCAACUGUGACAGGUAAAAAAAAAAAAAGAUGAGCUUUGGAUCGUCACUGUCCUUCAAAGUCAAAGAAACCACAGUGUGUCUCAUUCACUUGACCUCGACAUGCUCGCCUUCAUCUGGGAGCAGCUGAUCAAGAGCAGCUUCCACAGUUCGGUUGUAAAUGUCAAUAAAAAUGUUACUAUCCAGACUUGGUCUCUGUUAAUUUUCCAACUACGCUAUAACGUCAUGGGUCUAAUUUUACCACAACAUGUAACCACAAAAGGUCAAGAAGCAAUGAAGUAUAAUAAACCAGUGUUUGUGUACAUGUCUUCUGUCAGAGUGGAAAGGUUAUCUGUAAGACCACGUCAUACCAAAACUGUAUUUUAAAUGAUCUCAAACAUCAUGUGACACUAGUGAUUAAAAAUACAUUUAGUUCUUGUGACAUUAAAACUGGUGGUGGAGGGAUACUAACCACCUAUUUCACACUAAAACAACUGUAACUUUUGUAUGAUAUGUCACUUGAUUUGACUGCUGAACUCAUAUUAACUGACUGUGGAUUUUAUCCCCAUCACUUACGUUUAAAUUGAUUUAGUAAAAUAUCUCUUUAUGGCCGGUGCUAACAGGAGGAAUGAUCACAGCAAGUAAAACCUGUUUCAUGAUUGUUUUAAGACAGGCUUGUCAUGUCAUGUGCAAUGCUGCCUUCUAGAGGCCAUAGUUAUUAGUAGUUAGCCAUGCAUUAUGUCAAAGUGUAUAACAUAACGUUUGAUCCGGUUAUGAAAUGCACUUUGAGCUGCAUCUUUGCAUGAAAAAUGCGAUACAAAUAAAGUUAUUAUAACAAGGAGGAUGGAGGCUAGGUAUUAUGUGUGUUUUAACUCACCUGUCAAAGCUGUAUGUUCCAGGGUGACUGAUUGACCUCUUCAUCUGGGCAGGAGGACAGAAAGACAGAAGAAGACAAUUUUCGUUAUUAAAAUGGUAUUUAUUAAUGUAGGAUGUAAAUGACAAAAUAUCUGCAUGUAAUAAAAAUUUGUGAAAAACUAACGAUGUGGGCUUCAGCUACUACAACUCUUUAACUUUUGUGUCUUCUAAAUACUUUGGUGUCGCUGACAGAGAAUAAAGUGUCUUUUACA